AUUGAACGCUGGCGGCAGGCCUCACACAUGCAAGUCGAACGAGUGGCGGACGCGUGAGUAAUGUCUGGGAAACUGCCUGAUUGAGGGGGAUAACUACUGGAAACGGUAGCUACUACAGCAUACCAUCAGAUGUGCCCAGAUGGUCUUAGCUUGUUGGUGGGGUAAAGGCUCACCAAGGCGACGAUCCCUAGCUGGUCUGAGAGGAUGACCAGCGAAACUGUACCGGAGACACGGUCCAGACUCCUACGGGAGGCAGCAGUGGGGAAUAUUGCACAAUGGGCGCAAGCCUGAUGCAGCCAUGCCGCGUGUAUGACGAAGGCCUUCGGGUUGUAAAGUACUUUCAGCGGGGAGGCGUUACCCGCAGAAGAAGCACCGGCUAACUCCGUGCCAGCAGCCGCGGUAAUAC
rnacentral:rRNA from 1 species